ensembl:lncRNA
GAAUCGGAGCUGUAGCCACCAGCCUACGCCAGAGCCACAGCAACGCGGGAUCCGAGCCGCGUCUGCGACCUACACCACAGCUCACGGCAACGCCGGAUCGUUAACCCACUGAGCAAGGGCAGGGACCGAACCCGCGACCUCAUGGUUCCUAGUCGGAUUCGUUAACCACUGCGCCACGACGGGAACUCCUAAUUUUUUAAUUCUAAUAUUUUAAAGUUUUUUCAGUGUAAUAGGUAUUUAUUGAGUUCAGAGUAUCUCUUGUGGUGUUAAAUUCCUUUCAUGUUUAACGUUUCUUGUUUGCUGUUAUUUGUGGUUAAGCUUAUUGACCAGUUUGUUGCUCUGAGGGUGUGUUUCCUCAGAGGCAAAUGAGAAUCCUUGUUUAUCUGGCAUUUAUCAGCAAACUAAUUACCUCUAGUGAAUCUAUGGGAGGAAAGAAGCAAGGAGAGACUGGGAAGGUGUGAAGGACACUUAACUUCUGGGAAUGAGGCUGCUGGUAGAUUAAAAACCCUCCCUUCCUUUUGUUCAGUAGCCCUCCUGGUGGUCUCACAACUCAGAGUUCUCAGGAGGGGCUCUCAUAGCUCUAAUCUGAGGACAAAUACACUAAGUAGGGAGUGGGGAGUUGCUGUCUCGUCUGUGCUAUUCUUAAGUUAAUUAUCUAAAACACUGGCACAAGUUCCUUCCUGCUUCCACUGCUCUGACCUGGCCUUAUUCUGGAGCACUAUUUGGGGAUGUUUUAUUUGUCCACUGAGAGGAGUCCCUCAGUUCUUUUGGGUUGUGUUACCAGUUUAUUUGCUGUUGCUCAAUCGCUUCUAGAAAUCCCUCAUUUUAGAAAAAUUGUCUGCUGCUAAACAUUUUUUUCCAAUGUUGUUAUGAAUUUGCUAAUUUAUUCUUUUUUUUUUUUUUUGGAGGGUAUUUCCUUUUUGGAUUGUGUUUAUGUUUAAUCCUUUUGGAUUAAUUCUUCUUCCUCUUCUCCUUCUUCUUUUAAUGGCCGCAUCCACAGCAUAUGGAAAUUCCCAGGCCAGGGAUUGAAUCCUAACUGCAGCUGUGACCUAUGUUGCAGCUCGCAACCCUAGAUCCUUUAACCCACUGUGCCAGGCCAGGGAUGGAACCCAUACCUCCUCAGGGACCUGAGCCUCAGCAGUCAGAUUCUCUCUCUGUCUUUUUUCUUUUUAUGUCUGCAUCUGUGGCAUAUGGAAUUCCUAGGCUAGGGGUCAGAUUGGAGCUGCUGACUUAUGCCACAGCCACAGCAAGACUGGAUCCAAGCUGAAUCGCAACCUAUGCUGCAGCUUGCAGCAUUGCAGGAUCUUUAGCCCACUGAGUGAGGCCAGGGAUCAAACCCACAUCCUCAUGGAGACAACCUCAGUUCUUAAUCCACUGAACCACCAUGGAAACUCCUGUAGUUGAAUUCCUAAUGCACUGCUCCACAGUGGGAACUCCUUAGUUCUUAUCUUUGACUAGGAAAGGGGCCAUCCAGCUGUACUAAUUUGCUCAAGAAGUGAGUAGAGGAGGGGGAGGGAAUGACUGGGAGCAGCAUCUUAUUAAUAUUUAAAAUAAUAAAAAAUCUUUUUGCUGUAGUGAGGUGCAUUAUACAACAUAUAGAAAAUACGGAAAAAUAAAAGGAAGAAAAGAAUCGUUCAUAAUCUGAUCGUGAUAAUUACUGUUAAUAUUUAGACAUAUUAACCUUCAGUCUGUUCCUUAUGCAUAUUUUAACACUCUUGUGAUCAUAUUCUCCAAGCAUUUUGUACUUAUUUUUCAACUUAUGUCUCAGCACAUGUUUCUUAGAUUAUUAGAAACACUCAUGAUUAAAUCCUUACUUUGAUAAUAUCAUGGGAUAGAAUCAAAUGGAGCCUCCAAGGGUAGUAGGUCCCUGUUUUGGGUCAUUUGGGUUAAUUUGGUAUUUGGCUUUUUACUUUUUUUUAAACUUUAAUUUUAUUGACGUAGAGUUGAUUUACAAUGCAGUGUUCCUUUCUGCUGUGUGGCAAAGGGAUGCAGCCAUACAGAUACACAUAUCCAUCCCCAUAUAGUUAUCAAGGAACACUGAGUGGAUUUCCCUGUGCCAUGCAGCAGAUGCCCAUUGAUCAUCCAUUCCACAUACCAUAGUGUGCCUUCGCCCAUCCCAAACCCCAAAUUCAAGCCUUCCCCAAACCCUUCCCCUUUGGUGACCAUGGCUCUUUUACUUUUAAGAAGGACUUCUUGUUUAUCUUUAUUAUUUAAUUUCUGAGAUUAAAUUUAUAGGGAAAUUUAUCUGAUGAGUUUUGAUAAAUUUUUACGUUCAAGUAAUCACAAAAAUCAACCAGAUACGGAAUAUUUGCUUGAGUCAUUUUAAUAGUGCAGUGAUGAAAACCUAUAAGAAGCUUCCCUAUGUUUGGAUUAUUUACUGAGGCUGUGCACCUAGAAGUGAAACCAUUAGAGCCUCAUUUUAUGAAACUUUUAAUGGACGUUUUACCCACAUGUCUUCCAGAGGGCGGGUCCAUGUCCAGUCCCACCGGGCAGUGGAGACCGCCAGCACUACUCAGCCCUUUCUCCAGGAUUUCCUUGACAUGUUUGGACUAGCCCCCAGCAGGAGAGGUCCACCAUUUCUUCUUGAAAGCAAACUGUGACUCUGUUGUGACAACACCUCCCUCCAUCUGACCAUGGCUCUGUGUGUAUAUGCGUGCAUUUUUAUGUGUAAAAAAUUGCCAUUUCUACUUCCAGUGGCCUUAAAACACUCUUUUUUUUUUUUUUUGUCUUUUUGUCUGGUAGGGCCGAACCUGAGGCACAUGGAGGUUCCCAGGCCAGGGGUUGAAUCGGAGCUGUAGCCACCGGCCUAUGCCAGAGCCACAGCAACACUGGAUCCCAGCCGCGUCUGCAACCUACACCACAGCUCAGGGCAACGCCGGAUCGUUAACCCACUGAGCAAGGGCAGGGACCGAACCCGCAACCUCAUGGUUCCUAGUCGGAUUUGUUAACCACUGCGCCACGACGGGAACUCCUAAAACACUCUUGACACAGAUAACACUCUCUGUGGCCUGGGAGUGGUUAUCAGGGGCACCACUUCUUCAUGGCAGGGGCUUCCUGAUGAAAUCACACCUCAGCUCCUCUCUGUCUUCUUUCAAAGUCACAGUGUUUCUAAUCACAAGGGCUCUAAAACUCCUGAGCCCGUUUACUUCUCUCAUGCUCCCAUUGAUGCCAGCUCUCAUCCAUUCUGCUUUUCUAGGUCUCGCCCCCCCUCCCUCCCCUCCUUCUGUUUCCAUUCUCAUUGCUUUAUUCUGGCCCCGCAUGACUGCUUACUCAAUGCAUUUCAGUUGAUUCUUUUCUCCCUAACACAUCUGUAUGCGCCGUGGCUGCCCGAUCAGUCAUCCCAAAGGAUUUGCUUAUGCCAUAUUCCUGUUCAAAAUAUCUUCAAGAAGCUCCAUCCAUUCAAAAUCCUUAUCCUGGCAUCUCUGGGCCUUCCACAGUCUUCCAACUUUAUUGCUGUCUCUUUUUCAUGAAAUUGGCAUGAAACUAAACUACUUGUUAUCCUCCCAUUUAACAGCAUUUUAAGAAUUAUUUUCUGCUUUAUUCAAGUUCUUGCCUCUGCUGGAAUGCUUUUUGUUCCUCCAUGAUUUAAAUUUCCAAAUUUUGUCUUGCCUUCAAAAUUCCGUUUAGAUGUCAUUUCCUUCACAAAAUCUUCCCUGAUAAGCCCAGCAAAAAUAAUCUCUCUCCCUUCUGAAUCAUUAUAGUACUUUAUUAUUACAUUUUUGUUUUGUAUUAUUUUCAAUCUGGAAUUAUAACAGUUCAUUGGCUGUUUUUUAUUUGGAUAGAAAUUUUCUUUUUUUUAAUUUAAUUUUUACUUUUAUGGCCAUACCCACCCAGCAGCAUGUGGAGGUUCCUGGGCCAGGGAUUGAAUCUGAGCCCCACCUGUUGCGGCAACACCGGAUCCCUUAACCCACUGUGAUUAACCAGGGAUGGAACCCACAUCUCCACAGUGACCCAAGCCACUGCAGUCGGAUUCUUAACCCGCUGCACCACAGCAAGAGCUCCUAGAUAGACAUUUUCUUAAGAGCAAGUUUUGGUUUUAAAAUUUUCAUGUAUGUCUUCAAUGCCUUGCAUAAGAAAGAAGCUCAGUCAAUAAAUGUUUUCUUUUUGAGCUUUGUGGAGGUAUAAUUGACAAACUUGUAAUAUGUUUAAGAUACACAAUGUGAUGAUUUGAUACACUGUUGGAGGAGGUCAUCAGGUGUGACAGCUGGCUUACCUGUGAGCUGGACCAGGACAGCUCCUGCGUCCUUGAAAUGUCCGUUCACCCACUCUUGCCACAGUAGAAAUCAUUUUCGAGGACACAGCCUUGAGAAAGCAAGGUGUUGUUGAGAUCAUCUGAACUGUGUAUGUGACUGAACCCCCAUUAAGGCCUCUAAAUAAAUUUUAAGAUUCUGCUAAGCAGAUGUGGCGAUCUGCUCAUCUUGAAGCUGCUCAACACAAGUCCUAUACAUAAAUUCUCUUGCUUGUUAAAACCACCGCUUACCGGCGUUCCCACUGUGGCUCAGCAGUAACAAGUCUGACUAGUAUCCAGGAGGAUGCAGGUUGGAUCCCUGGCCCUGCUCUGUGGGUUGAAGAUAUGACAUUGCUUGAGCUGUGGUGUAGUCCUCAGAUGUGGCUCGGAUCUGGUGUUGCUGUGGCUGAGGUGGAGGCCAGCAGCUGUACCGCCAGCUCGAUCCCUAGCCUGCCAAGUUCCAUAUGCUGCAGCUGCAGCCCUAAAAAGCAAAACAAACAAACAACAACAACAACAAAAUCCCACUACUUAGCAAUCUGGGAGGGGCCUUUCUCUUUCUCUGGUCUUAUCCUCUGCUGGGAGGGAGGGGGAAGCUCCUAAGUUUGGGAACCAACUUACACAGAUACAGUGUGAUGGAUUCCCACCACUGAGUUGAUGAACAUAUCUGUCACCUUAUAUUUUUGCCUUUUUUCUUUUUUCUUUUUUUUUUUUCCCUUUGGUGAGAUUUUUCUCUCUUAACUAAUUUCAUUUAUACAAUACAGUAUUAUCAACUAUAGAUAGUUACCAUGUUUUAUAUUAGAUACUCAGACCUUUCCAGGUACUGAAAGUUUGUACCCUUUUAUCAGCCUCUCCCUAUUUCUCCCAUACCCCAGCCCCUGGCAACCACUAUUCUACCCUCUGUUUCUCUGAGUUCAACUUUUUUUUUUUAAAGAUUCCAAAUAUAGAGAGUUCCCAUUGUGGCUCAGAGGUAAUGAACCCAACUAGUGUCUGUCCAUAGGGAUGUGGGUUUGAUUCCUGGCUUCACUCAGUGGGUUAAGGAUCUGGUGUUGGUUGUUGUGAGCUGUAGUGCAGGUCACAGAUGUGCCUCAGAUCUGGCGUUGCUGUGGCUGUGGUGUAGCCUGGCAGCUGAAGCUCUGAUUGGACUCCUAGCCUGGGAACUUCCACAUGCCACAGGAGUGGCCCUAAAAAAAAAAAAAA